GGAUGUGAGGGCGAUCUGGCUGCGACAUCUGUCACCCCAUUGAUUGCCAGGGUUGAUUCGGCUGAUCUGGCUGGCUAGGCGGGUGUCCCCUUCCUCCCUCAACGAUCCAUGUGCGUCCCUCCCGAAGCUGCAUGCUCGGUCGAAGAGAACGACCACCCCCAAUAGAGGAGGACCGUUCCUCGGUCAAGGGUAUACGAGUAGCUGCGCUCCCCUGCUAGAACCUCCAAACAAGCUCUCAAGAAAAGAGAAUAAGAAAUUUAUUAGGUAAGUUCACAGCAUCGGAAAGGUAUGUGUCC
rnacentral:snRNA from 1 species